rnacentral:rRNA from 1 species
AGGAAAWGAAACCAACAGGGAUUGCCCUAGUAACGGCGAGUGAAGCGGCAACAGCUCAAAUUUGAAAUCUGGCCCUUUCAGGGUCCGAGUUGUAAUUUGUAGAGGGUGCUUUGGCGUUGGCUGUGGUCUAAGUUCCUUGGAACAGGACGUCGCAGAGGGUGAGAAUCCCGUAUGUGGCCGCCAGUCUUCGCCGUGUAAAGCCCCUUCGACGAGUCGAGUUGUUUGGGAAUGCAGCUCUAAAUGGGAGGUAAAUUUCUUCUAAAGCUAAAUAUUGGCCAGAGACCGAUAGCGCACAAGUAGAGUGAUCGAAAGAUGAAAAGCACUUUGGAAAGAGAGUCAAAAAGCACGUGAAAUUGUUGAAAGGGAAGCGCUUGCAGCCAGACUUGCCUGUAGUUGCUCAUCCGGGCUUUUGCCCGGUGCACUCUUCUAUGGGCAGGCCAGCAUCAGUCCCAGCGGUUGGAUAAAUGCCUGUUGAAUGUACCUCUCUUCGGGGAGGACUUAUAGCUUCGGGCGGCAUACAACCAGCCGGGAUUGAGGUCCGCGCAUCUGCUAGGAUGCUGGCGUAAUGGCUGUAAGCGGCCCGUCUUGAAACACGGACCAAGGAGUCUAACAUCUAUGCGAGUGUUUGGGUGUCAAGCCCGAGCGCGUAAUGAAAGUGAACGGAGGUGGGAACCCCUCGGGGCGCACCAUCGACCGAUCCUGAUGUCUUCGGAUGGAUUUGAGUAAGAGCAUAGCUGUUGGGACCCGAAAGAUGGUGAACUAUGCCUGAAUAGGGUGAAGCCAGAGGAAACUCUGGUGGAGGCUCGCAGCGGUUCUGACGUGCAAAUCGAUCGUCAAAUUUGGGCAUAGGGGCGAAAGACUAAUCGAACCAUCUAGU